rnacentral:rRNA from 1 species
GAUGAACGCUGGCGGCGUGCCUAAUACAUGCAAGUCGAACGGGGUGUUUGAGCAAUCGAACACUUAGUGGCGAACGGGUGAGUAACGCGUUGGUGACCUGCCCCAAAGCGGGGGACAACAGCUCGAAAGGGCUGCUAAUACCCCAUGCAGUUGAGAGAGAUUAGAAACUUUCAACUAAAGGAGAAAUCCACUUUAGGAGGGGCCUGCGUCCCAUCAGCUAGUUGGUAGGGUAACGGCCUACCAAGGCGUAGACGGGUAGGGGACCUGAGAGGGUGGCCCCCCA